rnacentral:lncRNA from 10 species
GCCGCGUCCACGUCCACGCGCAGAGCCGCGCACUGGCACAUUCAGCGCCCUGCACAGAGCUCCCAGCGCCGGGCACUGAACUUUACUGGAGCCUUCAGGUUAAACAGGAUAGAGAAGAAGGGUCACCCCCACUCCGGUCUUGUAGGGCUGAGGUGGGAACUUUUUUGUAAAACCUUUCACAAAAAAGAGAAGGAAGAGGCCAGGUGCAGGCGCAGAGCCCUCUUUCUUUGGAGACACCUCGUUGCUAAUUAGCAUUGGUUUGGCAAAAUAUUGCACUUCAUCUUGGACUAGGAGAAAAUGAGCGCUUUUGAAAAGGGCAAAGGUAUGGCUCCUUCUUCCUCCUUCCUCCAGCGCUGUCAGCACUCGGCCUCAGCACUUUCUACCGAAGAGGUUCUUUCUAUGGUUUUCCGGCAGAGUAAUGAAUUCAGGGAAAUACAGCCGAAAAGAGAAGGGGCAAAGCCUUAAAAACAAAACCACAACAACCAUAAAAGCCUUUAUUUGAAUUAUAGAAGGAAGGAAGGAGAAGGAGAAAAAGAAAGAAAAGAAAUCUAAAGGGAAUAAAAUGGGCUUCGCAGGUCGCCCCCAGGAUUCCGUGGGUUUGCACCUCGGGACCGCACCGCGGGGGUGAAGGUGAAGACCUAGUGUAUGGCCCCACGAUUCCAGGAGACGAAGGAGAAAUCGGAGACACCCACCAGACUUUGUAAGAAAACUUUUAAUGACUGUGUGCCAGUCAGUGCGUUUUUAAACUUGUUCAGUGUUCGUGACUCCUUGCCCAAGCAAAGUAAUCCCCCAGACCCCGGCCGCCACCUCUCCCCCACGCCCUGCCCGGGAGAAUCCAGCUGGUCUCCCCACCCUCUCAGACCCCCUUCGGUCCCCACUCCUAGCCCCAGCCGAUCGAGAAUCUGGCGGUGGAAAUUCCAGGCGCCGCCCCUCCCUCCCCCGGCCUGAACUCGGAGUUUGGGCGCCUUUGCCCCUUCCCCUCCCUUCCAGAGCCCUCUCCCGCCCAACCUGUAAGCCGGACUAGCUGCUCUGCAGUGUCUGCCGCCCCCACCCCCAGCACAGGUCGCAGCGCCCGGCAUCCUCCCACGCUUCCCUCCUGCCCUGCUCGCCGCCGGCCCCCGGCCCCCGGCCUCCUCCCGCUCGGCAGUGGCUAGCAGCGGGGGAAGUCCCGCCUGCGGCUCCCAGACCCCAGCCCUUUGCAGCCUCUCUGAGUCCCCCAUCGCCGCCUCUGAGCUCUCCCGUCGCCCUCCCGCCAAUCCCUACUCGGUUUUGCUGCCUUCUAUCCCUCCACCCCCAGCAACGCCCAGCUCCCAAGCCUCUUGGCCGGCCCGCCCUGCGACCCCCCAGUUCCCCGCUUACGGACCUUGGGAUCUCCGCUGCCGCCGCCGUCGCUGCCACCGCCUGCUGUGCCCGACCCGCCGCUUGCCUCUCUCUGCCGUUCGCCCUGGGACGGGCGGACGGAGCUCGGCUCCGGCGGGCUCAGACCUCCCUGCUCGAUUCUCGGGCGCGGGGGUCUGUGCUCCGCCGCCCGGGAUCUGCCCGGGAGCCGUCCUGGAGCCCCAGGGCCGCGGCGAGCGGGCUCUUGGCCCGGCUAGGGAGAGGCCACUGCGUUGCGCUCUGCCAAAAUGACCAUGGAGUUGCCGAUUAGGUCUACAACGAUGGUGAUAACCAUCGCGCAGAACAUAAAGAUGAUUAGAGCCGGAAACUCAGGACGAGAGGCUCUGACGCCUCUCCCUCUCGGGAUGCUCGGCAUUCUCUACUGAGCGGCACGGGGCAGUCAGGAAGGCUGAAGGAGCUGCGCCGCAGCCGCGGGAAAGGUGCGGAGGUGUCACGCGGCUAAACCAAGAAGCCUCUGGCUGACCGGCGAUCCCUGCCUCAGUCAGGAUUCCUCUCGGUCUUUCUCCUUUCCCAUGCCCUUCUGGGGUUCUCGUUUCGACCCCAUCCCUCUCAGGCCUCCCCCCUCGCCCUCCACACCGCGGAUCUCUGUCCCCGUGCGUCACAGUUCCCCUGCGGUGCGCCCAGGAUCUCGCUCCGCGGGGACCACGGAAAAUUCGAAUAUUCGGGCAAAACUAAAGGGGCGUGAUUCGGACACUCGUUCCCUCAAUAACCUUGGUCACGGGAAUGGAUUUCUGCCGGCUACUAAAAGUUACGGCUCCUGUCGAGAAGCCUUUCAAAAUCUCAGUAAACACCUUGAAACUUGUUCCAGACUAGUCUUCUUGCCACAGUAGGGGAGAGGGGUUGCACUGGCCGGGAGCGCCA